rnacentral:rRNA from 1 species
UACGAAGGGGGCUAGCGUUGUUCGGAUUUACUGGGCGUAAAGCGCACGUAGGCGGGUUGUUAAGUCAGGGGUGAAAUCCUGGAGCUCAAACUCCAGAACUGCCUUUGAUACUGGCAACCUAGAGGCUGGAAGAGGUUAGUGGAAUUCCCAGUGUAGAGGUGAAAUUCGUAGAUAUUGGGAAGAACACCAGUGGCGAAGGCGGCUCACUGGCCCGGUACUGACGCUGAGGUGCGAAAGCGUGGGGAGCAAACAGG